rnacentral:rRNA from 1 species
GUGUCAGCCGCCGCGGUAAUACAGAGGGUGCGAGCGUUAAUCGGAAUUACUGGGCGUAAAGGGCGCGUAGGCGGUUAUUUAAGUUAGAUGUGAAAUCCCUGGGCUUAACCUAGGAACUGCAUCUAAUACUGGAUAGCUAGAGUGCAGUAGAGGGUAGUGGAAUUUCCGGUGUAGCGGUGAAAUGCGUAGAUAUCGGAAGGAACACCAGUGGCGAAGGCGGCUACCUGGACUGACACUGACGCUGAGGCGCGAGAGCGUGGGGAGCAAACAGGAUUAGAAACCCCUGUAGUCC